GCAGCCCAGAAAGGAGCUGGGCUGCGGACUGCAGGCAACCAGGCAGCUGGAUCCCACCGAGGAGACGGCUCUGCGUUCACGGCGGCCGGGGCUCAGCCGGACGGUGCGCGAGCCAUCCCCUGGCGCACCGUUCCUCGGCGUUGGUAAGUGCUCAGUGGGCCGACGACCCUGCCCCCCUCUGUGGCCGCGCGCCGCACACCGAUCGGGCACCAUGAAGUCCACAGGCUUUUUCUCCUGUGCAGCGCCCCGGUCGGAGGGGGCUGCAGCUGGGCCGAGCUGUCGAGCCGCCGCAAUCACCGGGCGCUGCCUGUAGAACGUCUGGGCCGGCAGCCCGGCUGGAGCCUGGCCAGUGCCUGAAUCUCGUGCCCGCGCCGCAGACGGCGCCGGGCCCCCGACUCCGAAGAGGAGAAGGAGGGUGGUCGCCCGGGGAGCCCCCUCCGGUGCGCCAUGGAGGCAGAGGCCGCAGCUCUCUCUCAGGAGCCCGCUGCCGAACCCAGCUGCAGCCUCGGUCACCUGUUUAGUAGCCGUAAGCUGUUGGCCGUGGGGGCCGUGCUAGGCUGGCUCCUGGUCAUCCACCUCCUGGUCAACGUGUGGCUUUUGUGCCUUCUGUCUGCGUUGCUUUUGGUGCUGGGAGGAUGGCUGGGCUCCGACGCCAUCGUGGGGGCUUCAGGUCGGCUGCACCUGGAACGCUUUAUCCCGUUGGCCAUCUGCCCCCCAAACCCCGAGGCCGAGAGGCAGCUGGAGCAGGAGAUCGACCGCACCAUCCGCCUGAUCAUGCGGGAUUUUGUGUCGUCCUGGUACCGCACAGUGAGCCAGGAGCCGGCCUUUGAGGAGGAGAUGGAGGCAGCCAUGAGGGGUUUGGUGCAGGAGCUGCGGAGGCGGAUGGCCAUGGUGGACCGCCAUGCUCUCGCCCAGAGGGUUCUGACGCUUUGCGGUUGCCACCUGCAGAGCUAUAUUCAGGCAAAGGAGGCCACUGCAGGGAAGCAGAGUGGCACAGUUGAGCCCUCCCAGCUUUGGGAGGCCUAUUGCCGGACCACUGCCCCACAUCCUGCAGUCCAGAGCCCCAGUACUGAAGUCACCUAUACACGUGAAAUUGUGGACCUGUUGCUUAAAGGGCUAGUGCCAAAGCCCCACUUGGAGACCCGGACUGGCCGCCAUGUAGUGGUGGAACUCAUCACUUGCAAUGUGAUCUUACCGUUGAUCAGCAAGCUCUCAGAUCCUGACUGGAUUCACCUUGUACUCGUGGGCAUCUUUUCCAAGGCCAGAAAUAAUCCAGCUGGAACAAUGAAACCCCUCUGCCAAGCCAGUACCCUGGAACAGCCCUCAGUGCCCACAUCUCUGCCCCUGAUUGUUGAGGUGCAAAGUCUACCAAAAGUGAGAGCCCCCUCUCCAGCAGCAGUCCCAGUGCUCCUGGACUGCAGUGAGCCAGAUGGACCAUCACACCUGUCCCCAGAAGUUGAAGAAGGCCGUGAAGCACUAGAGGGAGACCUGGGGGUAGUGCUAGAAGAAAGAAGAGUAGGAAACAACCCUUCUCAUUUCCUACAACCAGGUAUUACAGGCCCUCUGUUCCUGUCUGAAGACGCAGAGCUGGAGUCUCCGCUGUCUGAACUGGGCAAAGAAACCAUCAUGCUCAUGACCCCAGGCAACUUCCUCUCUGACAAGAUCCCGAAUGUCUUGUGUGUCCUAGGAGGUUCCCACUCCCUAGAGGCUAAGGAUGCUGAGGGAUCCGAAGGAGUCGAAGAAGCAGAAGCUGAGGAGGGCCCAGGAACAGAAACAGAUUCGGGCCUGCUUGUCUCCAUGCUCAAUACCUGCCCAGAGAUCCACAUUGACACAGCAGACAAAGAGGUAGAACAAGGAGAUGUCACCUCUCUUGCAACUUUGCUGGCCAGUCCAGAAAGGACAUGCCCGCCACGACCUCCGUGCUUAGAGAAAGAACUCACCAAUGGCGUGAGCGCCCUCGAUCCUAGUCUGCCUCAGGUUCUGCUUUCCUCCUCUCCACCUGGUCCCCUCAGCGCGGCCACCUUCAGCUUUGAGCCCCUGAGCAGUCCAGAUGGCCCUGUUGUCAUCCAGAACCUUCGUAUCACCGGCACCAUUACUGCUCGAGAGCACAGUGGCACCGGAUUCCACCCAUACACGCUCUACACGGUGAAGUAUGAGACGGCCCUUGAAGGCGAGAGCAGCAGCGGCCUGCAGCAGUUGGCCUACCACACCGUGAACCGCCGCUACCGCGAGUUCCUGAAUCUGCAGACCCGUCUGGAGGAGAAAUCCGACCUACGAAAGCUCCUCAAAAAUGUGAAGGGUCCUAAAAAGCUCUUUCCGGAUCUUCCGUUCGGAAACAUGGAUAGUGACAGAGUGGAAGCCCGCAAGAGCCUCUUGGAAUCAUUCCUGAAGCAACUCUGUGCCAUUCCUGAAAUCGCUAACAGCGAGGAGGUACAGGAGUUCCUUGCCCUGAACACAGAUGCUCGUAUCGCCUUUGUCAAGAAGCCAUUCGUGGUCUCCAGGAUAGACAAGAUGGUGGUGAGCGCUAUCGUGGACACCUUGAAGACAGCAUUUCCUCGCUCCGAGCCCCAGAGCCCCACCGAGGAGCUGAGCGAGGCCGAGACAGAAAGCAAGCCCCAGGCAGAAGGCAAGAAGGCUAGCAAGUCCAGACUGAGGUUCUCAUCCAGUAAAAUUGCUCCAGCACUGAACAUAGCUGAGGCACACGAGAAAAUUCUCUAUUGUCUCCAGGAAGGCAGUGUGGAGUCAGAGGUUCUCUCCAUGUCUGGGAUGGAAUCCUUUAUUGAAAAACAGACAAAGUUACUAGAAAUGCAGCCAGCAGAAGCCCCAGGAAAAGAUUCUGAACAAAUCUCCAAGGAAUGUGUGGAUGGUUUCGAGGCAGAGGCAGCUGUACCAGCCCAAGACCUCAGCAACAAUGACGCAGGAGCAGAGACAGCGUUGGCUAACACAGCCCUGGACCUGCUUCUCUUGCUGCUGAUGGAACAGUGGAGAUGGCUGUGUACAGAAAACGUGCAAAAAGUUCUUCAUCUUAUCUUCGGGACCCUAAUUCAGAGCCAACAGUAUGUAGUCACUGUGAUGAUAAACAAUGAGAAAGCCAAGGAGAAAACAGACCAGUGCUCUCAAGAUAAAGGGUGUUUUCUCCAGCGGGAUGUAUGUAUUCACCACUGAAGAAGGACUUACUGACACAGGAUGGUAAGGAACAGAGGGAUACUUAGAUUUGAAUCUCGGAUUUUAUAAUUCAGGCUUAGUGAUCCCAGCGCCAUUUGAAUCUGCCGAAAGAUUUUUUUACCUAGAUGGAGUGUUUAGCUGUUGACUUCCUAACCGUGAACCUGAUGCAAGCUCUGCUAGUCUGAAGAAGCCAGAUUCACUGUCUCUGAACCAGACAGACACACGUAGUGCUUGAGCUUUGGCCGCUCUUGCUUUGACCUCUCGUAUGAGACAUCCUGGCAGAUCCCAAAGUAAGAAGCAGCCAAAUCCUGAACUCUUCUGUCAGCAGGUGGCCCGUGCUGAUAGGUCACUCCAAAAAUAAAAACUUAUCUUAAAAAAAAGAAUGAUGUAUCUAUUUUGCAACAAGGAGGAGAUCCAGUAAUGACAAGCAGUUAAGUCUCCCCUCCCACACGUAAAGUUACACAGCACCAGGAAGGCUUAAUGUGCUUUCAUUAAGAAACUAAGGGAAAGAAGAGGUUGCACAUUUAUAGUUGCUGAAUGCUUAUCACAUGCCAGCACCUGACUCUGUUCACAUGCCUUUCCUUAGAGCAACCAAGUGAGUUAGGUAGCCCCAUUGCACAGAAUAAGAAAGUAGAGCUUGGCAAGGUCAGCUCACCUACCCAAGGUCAUAGUCAGUGACUUGUGUGGAAUUUGAAGCUGGAUGGGCACAACUCCAAAGCCAGUGUGCUUUUUCCCGCAUUGGAGCCUGAAGCCUGGUCUCCAAGUGAAGCCCAUGUAGAACAAUGCUGACUCUUCCCUGUGCCUCUAGUCUCCCUCCUCCGUGCUCAGCUCUGCUUCAAAACUACUUUUUCUGAGAAGCACAUAUGAACAUAGAUCCUGCAUUUAAUACCCUUCAGGGGAGCCCUCUUGCCUAUAGCAGGGAUUUAUGUGAUAUGUUUCCCAGAGUUGUAGGGGUCCACAGAGGUGCUUCAGAAGCCACCUUAGAAGCCAGGGGAAAACGGAGUAGACCUUGAAUGCAGUAAAGCGAUUCCCUUUCGAUCAGGUUAGUAGAUCAGGGAUCUAGAUAGGGUUUUGUUUGAAAAAGGGCUCCACUGUAUUUAAAAUAUGUACUCACUUAUUAGAUUAAAAUUCCAUCUCCUUUCUCAUUUGGCAUGAUCUGGUCCCAGCUUUAUUGGCAGUUCUCAGGCCCUCUCUUCCUGAGAGCACUGUGAGCACUGUGCCCUCUCUUCCUUCAGGCCUUUGUUCAUCCUCUUGUCUCUGCCACAGUGUCUUCUCAACCUAUUCCUCCCCUGCUCCCUCUCUGUGACCCAGACUUUCCCUCCUCUUGUCUGCUUGGCCCACUGCUGAAUAUUUUUCAAAAAUGAACUUUCAGUGUCGUAUAUUCUAUGGCAUCAUCUCCCGUUUUCGUCCAGAAGUAAGAGGCUUCUUCUCUACUCUCAAAGUUUUGAUAAUAAUACGUAUCACAGUGUAUGAGAAAUGGUCUGCUUUCCCCCAGACUAGUGGUUCUCAACCUGGAGGGCAGUUUUCCCAAGGUAUUGGGUGAUACCUGGAGAGAUUUUUGGUGUCAUAACUGAGAAGGGAGGCAAGAAGCUAUUUCACCCUGGCUGGAGGGCAGGGAUGCUGCUGAGCAUCCUGAGUGACAGGACAGCAUCCUUCCCACCCCGAACGACACUGAAUUACCCUACCCUGAGCAUCAGCGCAGAGGUCCAGAAACCUCGCCCUGGACUUGCGAUUAUUUAAGGGCCAGAACUAGCUUAUGUCCCCAGGAGCUUACAUGGGGCCUGGGACAUAGAAGAUGCUUAUUAAAUAUUGGAUGAAAGAAUAAACAUUUCCCUUUUCAAUACCUUUAUACUCAAAACUAGAAAAAGUAGAGUCUUCGUAUGUUUUUUUCAGUCACUUGCAAACGAUCCUGUGGAGUUUUCAUUUCUCUCCCACCAUUAGGCUUCUCUUUGCCAAUCUUGCAAGUGCUUUCAAAAAGUGGGAAGAUCCUGGGAGUUCCCUUCAUGGCCCAGCGGUUAGUGAACCCGACUAGGAUCCAUGAGGACAUGGGUUCGAUCCCAGACCUCCCUCAGUGGGUUAAGGAUCCAGCGUUGCUGUGGCUGUGGUGUAGGCCGGCAGCUGUAGCUCUGAUUCGACGCCUAGCCUGGGAGCUUCCAAAUGCAGCGAGCACGGCUAUAAAAAGCAGAAAAGGGUUGGGGAGGGGUGUGAUCCUAAACGAGCUAGUGUAUCAUAGUUGGUUAGCCCUCUGAAAUCAUUUACGUGGUAAAUUGGUUCAGAAACAAGAAGUUAUUCCAUAGUAACCAAAAAGUACAGAUGAGUCUGGAGAAAUUCAGAAAGGAUUGAGAGUCAUGUAUGUAACAAAGGUGGGAAGGUUACCUGAAGUUCGAGUAACUCAGAAUAUUAAAGAGCUUGGGCCAGAAAGGAGAGAGAAGUGUAUUUGGGGAAUUAGAGGAAGAUCACUGAAGAAGUGUUUUGCAUAGCUAGGGUUCUUAGGGCUUUAAAACAGGAAAAUUAAAUCCAAGGGAGUUGCAGGCUACAAGAAUCUCAAGCCAGGUUUCAUUACCUCAGCAGGCGAUAAUUAUAAAUUCUCUCAUGAUAGGGAGGAGAUUGUAGAGAGGAGGGGAUGGGCUGUGAAGAAGUAAACAGAUCAUGCUCUUGAGUGUGAGCUGUUUCCUUGCCUGCCCGGUAGACAUCCGUGCGGCUGUACUGUGUCAUUCAUUCUGCUUUACCUUAAGAUACUCCUCUCCAACUGGGGCAUUGUUUUGGUCUUAUUCCAUUAUUCAUUGAAAAAAUAUUAAGGGCUGUUCAAUGUGAACAAAACAGACAGCGGUCCCUACUUUCGCAUAUAUUAGUUUGGGGGUGGUGAGAACUGAGGGCUUUGCCCAUGAUCACAGGGUGAGGGCUCGGUGGAGCGAGAAGUCAAAGCCAGGUACUUCAAAGCCCAAGUUCUUAUCCACUGCAAGACAGUGCUGCUCUUCUCUAUUUAAUCUCUCUGAGCUUUGGUUUCCUCAUCUGCAGAGGAGGAAUAAUGAUGUCUGUCCCUAGGUAGGUAGAUAAGCGGCACAUGUCCAGCACAGGUCAGUCUUCAUAUUUGUGCUUCAGAAAAAGGAGAGAAGGAUAGAAAGUGCUUCAAAUUCCUCAGGGGUGGUGCCUCAGUCACCCCCCAGUUCAUGUCUUCAGGGUGCCCCACACAGCUGAGUCUCUGGCAGUUUCCGCCUCUCCUGUUAGCCUGCCUCUCUGAGCUGCACAGAAUGGGCCUUCCACGCCUACGGCUUCGUGAGGCCUUUCAGAGUGCCUUUGUGCCAGUGGACUCAUUGGCCACAGGGACAACCAGAGCCUUUUUGCAUCUGAGAGCAGGAAGAGGAGCACCUGGUCCCCCGUAGCACAGACAAGCACAGGUUCCGGACAGAGUACGGCAGUGUUUUCCAGGUUUACUGCUGCUCCUCGUUACACCGGUGCGGAGAGCUGCUGGAGUCAAGUGGUGCCUUUCCUCAGGAGGAGAACUUGGAAGCAGGCUAAGCUCCUCUACUUUCUGUCCCCAAACCCUGACGGUGGCACUGGAACCACACCUCUGGAUGGAUAGCUCUCUGGUGAAUGUAGCUCAUGCCAUAAACAAAAUCAGGGAGAGGGCUCAUGGCUGAAUUUCCCCUGACUUUCUUCUCUUUUCACGUUUUUUUUUUUUUUUUUUUUUUUCAUUGCGUGUCAUCUUUUUUUUGUUGUUGUUAAAGGGGAAAAUUCUUAAUGCUUUUAGUGAAUGCGAAUGAAGCCAAAGUGAGUAUUGUGCAAGAACAGAAUGUUGUAGCUGGUUCCUUUUGGAAAACUCUCUGUACCUGUGGUCAUUACCCCUGUUCAUCAUAGGUCCUUCCCAGUGAUGAUAUUUUGUACUCGUUGAGUUGCCUCCUGUCCCUUCCUGUCAGAAGGUACUUAUAUCUAGUAAAACUUUACCCUUAAGUCCAUUUUGUUUUGUAUGAGCUGCAACAGAAGUAGGAACACAGCUCUUGCCAUCCUCCCGGCCCUAAGCCUCUACAAACCAGAAUGAAAUGAGGAGCCUCAUCCCUUCCUGUGCAAGGCCUUUCAUUUUCCUCUCUAAAUCGUCCUUCCCAUCUUUUUAACCAUAUACUUGGCCCUCUUCUCAGAUACCUUGUGCUGGGUUCACGUUGUUCUUGAAGCUUCCCAAGAUAGCAUCCAGGAGUCGUGGCUAUCUGAAGGAGUCCCAGUGCCCCUCCAGAGGCUGAGAGGAUCUGUGGUGGCCCACACUCUCAUACCAGCAAGUGCCCUUGUAUGAGGUUCCCACGAAACAAUCGGGCUUGGUUCAGGGUUCACGGUGUAGACAUCAAUGAUCUUAUCCUCUUCAGGGUUUAUCAUCCAGCAGGUAUUUGUUGAGAGUUUCCUUGGUGUAGACCCUGUGCUAAACACAACAAGCCGAUUAUUUAAUCCCUUCAAAAGCCCUAUGAAAGGGGUAUUAGGAUCCCCAUUUCAAAGAUGAGGAAACUAAGACUUACCAAGAAUUGUGGUCAUUGAGUCAGGGUCACAGAGCUAAGAAGUGUACCACAGACACAGUUCGAACCCAGGUUUAUCUGAUGUUAGCUGUGGAGAUGGUCUCUUGGGAUCAGACUUUUGCCCCAAUUUGAAAGGAUGAAAGCCAGCCCCCCCAAAUCUUUGACCCAGAGCGGUAAAAUUCCCCAAGAGGAAAGUUAUCAGUCAGUGUGUAAAAUGAAAACUACAUUUCCAUAUAUGCACACUCACGCAAAACUCAGAGUGCCCUGCAGCAUCCUGAAGUCAGCCCAUGUUACUUGCUCCCUGGACAGCUUGCAUUUUUUAUUUUUAAAAAGAGGUUCAUGCAGUGCCGCAUUCUUUGGCUUUGUUUGCUUCGGUAAGCAAAGAAGCUGGAAUGUGAUCUCUCCCCAAAGCUGCAGCGCCUCUCCCUCCACCUGUCAGCUACCCCCAGAGAGGUGGGGCUGGACCCAGCCGGUCAGGGUUGGCCUUUCUGAGACUGUCCCCAUGGCUGCUGCCCGGGAGGCAGUCUGUUUGUUCUCUCUCGGAAACCACAGGUGCUGAGCUGUAUCCCUUUGCAGAGCACCUGGGUUCUCUUGCCUUAAGUUCUGCACUUUAAAGGGAAGGAGAGUUGGUGCUGAUGCCCCAGGUAGCCACUGCCACUACUCUGGUUAUCUUGAACCCACUACAGUGGGCAUUGGGGAUGGUCCAGCCCUGUAGAUUUAGAGGCAUCCCCUUUUUAAAAUGUCAGCAUUUUCCAUCCUCCAGUGUUAUCAUCCAAGAAGAUAAGUUAAUUCCUCUUGCUUCCAGCUUUGUCUGUUCUCCUUGCUCCCUUAAAUGACCUAUACACAUAACUGCCUGGGGUGCCAGGGACCACACGGGGGCGUGCACUGUCUCACUUCUUCCCUCUUGAUAUGCACCAUCUCUCUCCCUCCCCCCUCGGCCCCCCUCCCUCUCUAUCUCUGGCCUGCAAGGGAAAAAAAAGAGCGAGAGUAAAUUCAACCUCAUGACCCCUCCUUGUAAGCCAAGGUUGGAAGAGUUCUGAUCUGAGCCAGGCUACAUAAAUCUGCGUUGAUUGUUGAUGGCGUGGAGAGUGGGGGAAGGGGGCCCAAAGAGAAGUUAGAUGCCCAAAAAAGGCAUUGUUAAGUCAAAGGGAAGCUUUGCACGCAUGCGCGCCUGACCUCAUGUGUCAGCUUCUUUGCUGGGAACAUCCAAGGAGUCCAAGGAGCACUCCUUACUUGGACUUAGAGUCAAAGGGCGGGGAGAGGAGUGGGGGGAGCAGUCUAAGCCAAGGCGUGCGUCCAGCUUAUGAGACCGCUCGUGUCCGAAAACAGGAGAGACUGACAGUACCCCUGCAGGCAUCAGAAUCAGGUUUAGGAACUUGGACACGUACCCAGACCUUGACUGGGUCAAGGGAAAGAGGAUAGAUGUACUGUGCUCCAUUGAUGGUAGAAGGUUUGGGGCAGGAAGAUCCAGCCAAGGCAGCACGUUUCUGAGUGUGUGUGCAUGCAGAGAAGACAGACAAACAUUAAAUAUGUUCUGGAAAGCCCACCAGGCUACUACUCCUUGGGGGAGUUAGAACCGGAAUUCUCCCUUUGGACACCAGGUGGCACUACAGGUGGCUAGAAGUGCAGGUAGCUAACCUGACCUGUCCGCAGCGCUGGGUGCAGUACCUCCGGCUUCUUCAGGAGUCCAUCUGGCCUGGCGGGGUUUUGCCUAAGUAUCCUCGGCCUGUGAGGACCCAGGAGCAGAAGGUGGCUGCUGAGGAACAGGCUUUGCAGAGCCUGAUGGGAGUCCUGCCAGAUAUUGUUGUGGAAAUCCUGGGUGUGAACAAGUGCCGGCUGAGCUGGAGUCUGGUUCUGGAGUCGCUGCAGCAACCCCUCAUCAACAGGCAUUUGAUUUACUGCCUUUGGGACCUCAUCCUGGAAUUCUUGGAUCUCAAUGCCUCUGUUGAGGAGUCUGCCAUGACCACCUCUGCCUCAGAGACCCCAAGCAACCCCAAGAAGAUGGGCGUCUCCCCUUAGCCAGAGGUCAUUCACCCAUUUCUUCGAAGUCAGGAAGGGAGAGUGACUCUGCGCCCCAGGACCAGUCAGAAGCAGGGCUGUGCCUCUGGAGUUGGGCUUGGCUCAGAAGCCUGGGAUCUCAGUGGCACAGGUCUCCCCCCACCUACACCUCGUCUGCAGCAGGUGAUGGGGUCUACGUACCAGUUGCAUGCAUAUCCGUUCCCAUGCCUUUGUGAUGGUUUUUUGACUGUUGGUGGUUAGAUCCUGCUGCCUUUGGAAAAGGAAGCUGUGAGGCAGAGGAAGGAGCCCCUUUUGCCUCGCCUUUGCCCUCCUCUCUAAGGCUGUUUGCCGACAGCCUGGCCCUGCGCAUACAUGUGCUUGACCCCUGGGGCAAGCUCUAGCUAGACUGGGAAAAGCAAUGGCCGGGUGCUCCUGGAGGAGAAGUCUUCUGAGUUCUCUGUCCCCACCAGGAAACUAAAAAUUCAUUCAGAACCACUCUUGAGAGCCAGAGUCCUAGUCCUGUCUGGUCUCCCAACAACUCCACAAGAGGAGGGAGACCUUUCUCAAGACAGUCCUUGCUCAUUGGCUAGUUUCCAACACAUCAGCUCUAUAGAGGAUGUCACCGAAGCCUGCUUCCCACAGUGGCUGCUCUUUUCCUGUCCAAGAGACUUCAAAGCAGUCUGCCGAAGCUUCUGGUAGGUCCACUCUUUCCUGCAAGAGAGUUGCACCACAGAUUUUAUUUAUUCGCUUCCCUUCUAACCCCCUCCCUAAGAGCAGUGGCGUUCCGGCCCCUGCAGCCUUCUCUGUCUUCCUUCAGCGAAGUCAAAGUCGUGUAGCAGGUUACAUAUUCAAGCCCAGUGCUUCUCAAGGGAAGGGAAGGACUUGCUCGGCUGAGAAUGCCCGGAGGAGCGAGGGCUUCUCUUCUUCACAAGUCUCCAACAGGGAGCAUUUCAUCCGAACCAAUACCAUUAGCAGACAUUCCCACAAGAAGCUGUUUCCUUCCUGCUCCUUCAGGAUCUGAGGAGUCGUGAAGGACACCAGUGGUGAAAGCAGGGGCAGCAUCCAGUAGGACGGACCAUGGGGAGAAAUCGGUGGCAGGAAGGAGGACAGAGAGCGGGGCCAGGCGCCACAGGAGGUCUUGCUGAGGCGCUUGUUCACACCUGUCCCUUCCGCUUGCACUUGGGGGGCGCGCAGCUUCCACUGAGCUGUGCUGCCACCCCCCCCCCCGCUUGGAGGGGGGGGCCUUGGGUUUAGGCUGGCGAGAACGGGGUGGGUCUAGGACGAGCGUCAAGAUCCUCUUAGACUCUAAAGUAGGUGAUGCACACACAGUUAAAAUGGUUCACGGGAGAAAGUUGGGAAACCUUUUUGCUUUAACCCCUUUCCGGGGUUGGGGGGCGGCUUGUAACCAUCAAACAUGUUCUGGUGUGACUGGGAGGUUUUCGAGGUCCUGUUCUUGCCGAAAGGCAGGGAGAUGAAUGAGGUCAUGUGACUUGGGACCUUCGAGCCUUAAUGAUUGUUACAGUGACUUUAUGGCUCCAAAGUUCUCCAAACACCUCCCCAGCUAGAAGUCGCAGCGGAAGCAGCUCAGCAUCUCUGCCUCUGGCAGGUGUCUGCAGGAUGAGGGAUCGCGGGGAGCCCAGCCUGGACUGCCGCUACCCUUCUGCCCCCACUGCUCCAGGAAGGGUGGGGGCACCCCUGUUCUCUGCCACCCUUCUCUCCCCACGCUUUCCUCUCACAUGUACUCACCACCUAUAUCGCUUUGAAUCUGUGCUCCUAGAUGUGGCUCAGAUGUGGCCCAAACCCGGUACACAGGCUGGCACAUGUUAAAGCCCUUACAACUAAAUUCUAAGGAAACUUUUCACACUUUCAGCCCAAAGAAAACCUCCUUGUAUUUCAUAUUCUAUAAGAGACCCCACCUCUACUGUCUGCCCCCAGAAGAUAAGUUCUCCUCAGACCCUCCUUCCCGGAAGGAAAAUAAUGGAUAUCGCCAAGGAAAUAAGCAACACCCAUCUGGCUUUGAAACGACCUGCCAAGUUUAGGUGGCUGGUCUGGGCACACCAGGGAGAUGGGCAUUUGAGGGAGAGCCACAGGUCGCAGGAAACGAUGCUCCCAGCUGGGAGAGUGAGUGAUGAGUGAAGAACUGGACCCGACAUUAACCUGGAAUAUCCAUGACCCUCCUCUUGCCCUCUCCAGCCCAUUCAUCGCCAGCUGCCACUCUUCCUUUGUGACUAGCACCCAGCAACAGUUACUAGGUCCUAGACAGAGUGAAAACAUCAACAUGGCCCCUGGCUACACGCGUUAGGAUGCUUUAGGCUGAAGUACAAUUACUAAGUACAUUUAUUUUCUUCCAUAAAAUCAGUACCUGGGUGGGUGAGGCCCGGGGGCUGAUGGAUUCAGCUACUCUGCCCUCCUACAGGGGCCACAUUCUUCUCAUCUUGGUGCUUUGCCUUUGUGAGCUCUGUCCUCAGAUGCCUGCCUUCAUGGUUGCUGCGGUUCAGGGCAUCACGUUCUUUGAGAACAACGUCAGGAAGGAACAGGGGCAAGGCUCCCGUGUUUUCUCUUAAACAUGGAGGGAACCAUUUCCCAGAAGCCCUUCAAAAAUCCUCAGGACUCCUGGGCCAGAACUGCCCACCCCAGGCCGGUCCACUGACACUGAGGCUGCAUAACCAUAAUUGGCCUGUCGUAGUGUUUACCACCCGGAGAGGAGGUCACUCUAGUUAUUCUCCUGGAAGAAUAAAUAGAUGUUCGCAAGGAAGACGCAGAGAGUGGGUGUUGAUAGAGUGUCUGUUGCAGGGGGUGUUCUGCCAACGUCACCACAGCCCCCAUGGGACACUGAAAAUAAGACGAAUGUUUGCUGCAGGUACUCCUUGAAGCUCGUCCCAUGCAUUGACUUGCUUAACCCACGUGAGCCUGGUAAGGUAGUACAUCCCCAACUUACGGGGGGGACACGCGGCACCGAGCAGUGGUGACCUGCUACAGUCACAGCCAAGGUACAAAUCCAAUCAGUCCGCUCUCAAGCCCACACGCAGAGCUUUGUGCUAAUCUGUCUUUCUCACAAAAUAAGACAGGCUUUCGCUUUUAAGGAGCCUAUAUCUAGUAGAGGAAUCAGCAGACUUGGGCAAGGGGCAGGGAGUACGCAUUUUAGGCUGUGUGGCCACAUGGUCUUUGUUGCACCUGCUCAGCUCUUCCAUUGUGGCAUGAAAGCAGCCACAGACCAUGUGGAUUCAGACAAUGGCUGUGUUGCACCUUAACUUCACUCACGCAGAACGGAGCGGGCCGGGGCUAGCCCGUGAACAGUUCCCAGAUGCCUUGUCUAGUGGGCGUUAGAACAGUGCUUGCUGAACUCGAGUGUGCCCAUGAGCUACCCGGGGCCGUGUAGAGGGCCUCGUGUGCUGCAUGUUAAGAAGCUCCCAGAGGUCCCAGGGAGAGUGUAGGCCUUUAGCAUCAGGGGCUAGAACAGACACCUCUUAUUGGCUGUGGCUCACACACUACCAAGGCUACAGGGAGGGAACUUAAGAUUGGGGACCAGGGAGAGCCUGAGGUGGUAAUAUCUGUAUUGACUCCUAAAGAACUGAAAUCGCAUGGGGAGGUGUACAGGUGGAGGGAACGGUGAGCCAUGUGGGCACAGAUAAGGAGAGUAGUCACAGAAAGACAUAGUGCAUGGCCCCACGUCCCAUGGUGGGGGGGCGGGGGGGUGCCUGGACUGGCAGGCUCCCAGAGACAGUGGAGUGGCGGUCCGGGGGCAGGGGCAGCGGAUGCAGAGUUUCCAAGAUGAGAGAGUUCUGGAGAGCUAUUCACAAGAGUGUGAGUGUACAUAACACUACUGGACUCUGCACUUUAAAAUGUUUGUGAUGCUAAAAUUCUAUGUGUUCUAUUUUACUGCGAUCGAGAAAUUUUUAAAUUUUUAAAAGACAUGGAGAGCUGACAGCAGAGCAUGGCAUGCAGGGAGGGAGUGGCAAGAGCCAAGGCUGGGGCCGCAUGGCGUUGGGUGGGAGAGGACUUGUCAGGGUGCUGCUCUCGAGGAACCUGGAGUCCAUUCACUCUGCAAGGUGGGGGCUCGUGGAAGGGUCCUCCUGAGAGCAUUUUGUAUCUACAGUCCUGGGCACAGGGGGCUUGGCCACACACCCAGACUGUCCUGCUCAGCCCUGCCCCAGGGACCUGGCUCCUGCCUCGGUCACUUCCCUUUCAUUCCUCCCAGCCUGUCCCCACUGCUGCUUACCCAUGAUGGCCAUGGGGGUCUGAAGAGUAUAAUGAACUUGGCGUGAUGAAGCCAGAUUGGAACCCUAGCUCUGCCACUUGGCUGAGGAUGUGGGUGUGGCCGGGUAGUUCAGGCGUCACUGAGACUCAGAUGUCUCUGAGGAAGAGGGACGCAUACAUGAGGACCGUUUAGACAGCUCAGGGCAGUAAUGUGUAAGAUCAGCCUUCCGGAAGCACAGGUGCACCUGCUGUGAGCCUGUCGGUGGCGUUUCCGGGCUCCUCUGCUGCUGGCGGGAGCAGUGGAGAUGCCUGACUUCAGGAACUCUCCCGACCCUGCCCGGGUGCCUCCGCUUCCAUAGCCCCCUCAGAACCUGCCGUUCAUCCUAAUCUUCCUUUGGACUGGAGUGAAAUGUGUUUUCUUAGGAUGAGGAAAGGAAGGUUAGCCAACCCUGCUGGAUACAGUUGGGGGUGGGAAGCACGGAGGGAGUGGUGACUGGGGAGGAAGGGAAACCAUGAGGCUGUUGUCGUUGAAGCCCAGCCGGGCAAGCUCUGCCACAACUUGGCACCUCUGUUUCCUUUCCACUGGGAGUGCCAGAAAUCACAGGGCAGGGCUUGCUGACACCGCUUUUGUGGACAGAGAACAAAACCGCCGAAGGGUGAAUUUCAGCCAGCAAACCUCCAUCGCUCCUUGGUGGCGUAAAGGAUGAAGAUGCUGCUACACCCCCAAAGACUCUCAGAGAGGGCCAUGAGGGGAGGCCCCCGAACACAAUUUGCACACCCUAAGCUGUGUCUGAUAGUUCUUAGUACACAAAGACAGCAGUGUCUGUUUAAAAAACAAAAGCACAAGCCCAGAAGAAUGUAUCAAGCAAGAAACAAAUGAAAAUCACCAGAACUGUUUUCCUUCUGUGCCCCGGUAGCAGGAUUUGAAGCAGAGGCAGCAUGGAGCAGAGCGGUGGGGAAACCUGGGCACCCAGUCACCUUGGCAGACGCUCUGUGCUAUUCUCAGAUUUGCUGAGCCUUCCCGCUGUCUCCCUCCCACUUCUCACCUGUCUCUGGUCUGAAAGUACCUUUGAACUUGGCUUUUUUGGAAGCAAAACCAAGCAUGUGACAGAAUACAGAGAACUUCAUGACAAAAUCCGCUUUCUCUACACAUCUUGAUUCUUCAAACUUAGCUCCAAGCGCUUCUGUAUAAGUCACUGGUGAACCCCUGGUCUCUGAGACGUGGAGUGUUGGGAGGGAGAGUAAGAAGAGUGAUGGGAUCAGAUCCCAACUUAGAAAACAUUUCUUAAGUGACAUUAUCUGCUCAUUUAACCCCAAAUAGACCUCUUCAUCAUCCAUAUUUGGGAAAUGCAAGCUAAUUUCAAUGUUAAAAUGUUAAAAGAUUAAGAAGGUACAUCUGUCCGUGGCUUAUAUGUAAGUAAUCCACUGACCUUUUUUUAAAGUUGAAGUACAGUUGAUUUACAAUAUUAUGUUUUGGAUGUUACAGCAAAGUGAUUCAAUUACACAUUUAUAUGUAUGUAUCUAUAUUCUUUUUUUUUUCAAUUCUUUUCCGUUAUAGUUCAUUACAAAAUACCGAACACAGUUCCCUGUGCUAUACAGUAAGCCCUUGUUGUGUAUUUUAUAUAUGGUAGUGUGCAUGCUCUGACUUUUUUCCCUUCCCUAUAUGUUCCCCAUUAUCGUUGUGUUCUGUCAUCAUGAGCAGUGGAGAGUUGCCCAUCCUUGGAUUAAUUAAUGAGGGUGAAGACCAAGAGAGAUAAACACAGAAACCUAGGAUUGAAGACAAAGGCACACAAUGACCACAGGAGCUCUGACCACUCUGCUGGUUAGCACUGGAGGUGAUGAUCCAUAAGCUCGGGGAAUCAGCCCUUCGGCCUGUUCUCUGCAUAAAGAAUCAUUCUGCCCGUCACUAUCAAAAAGAUUAACCACUAUGUAGCAAAAUAUCUACAUUUCGUUUCAUGACUUGCCACUAGAGAGGACAGACCUCAUUGAGAAAAACACCUCUUUCUUUCGAUCUUGUCUCCUCUACAAAUACAUGGAGUCCAAAUCCAACAAGAUGACGGCAAGCCAGAGUCUCAAGAGUAGUGAGGGCACCUUCCAUUAAGGCCUCAUAUGUCUCUAGGAGAAUGACGUGGGCAUGGCUGGCAGUAGGACUUACUUGGGGACAGAAUGUAUUAUGGAGAUGCCUUCAGAGAAAGCUAGGGGCUUGGGCUCCGCUCUUCCCUGCCUCUGUCCUUUGGGACAUUCUUUCCUCCAGCUGGAUUUCCUUCCUCCUGCUGUGCACGGGUGGGCACCCUCUGUCUGUCAGAGCCGAUUCAAGUUCCACUUCCAUGAGGCUUCACCCGAUUGUGCCAGCCAAAACUCUCCUUCCUCAAAGUAAUUGACCCUGCCUCUCAGAUCAGCGUGCAUAGAUGUGGGGUCUUCAGCAAGAGAUUCUAAUUCUUCAAGGGCAGGGAUGUUGUACCUGUUGUGCUCCCAUUAUGUCAACCCUCCUGUACCUAGUGCAUCAUAGGUGCAAAGUAAAUCCUGAAGCUCAUUUGAUUAAAGAAGAUUAUACAUACCAACUUUGAGGAGGUAAAAUAUGUGAAUACAAUGAAUGAAAGAAUUUGCUGGAGACAAGAUCACAAAAAGGAUGAGGGAAGGCAAAUUUUCAUUUUUAAGACCUUAUACCUUUCUUCUACAGCAAAUAUCAAAUGAGAGAAGUUUGUUUUUACAUUUUCUGUGCCAAGCCCCACACAAUCGUAUGCCAGUGCCAUUUGCAGUCUUAAGUAUGUAGGCUGUAAGGUUCUGAAAUUAUAAGCUCCGUAAAGAAAAUCAGUCCCGGUUUGAAAACGGUUUUUAAAAUCAUCCAGUCACAAAAACACGCGGCCUUAUCCUGUCUACUCUCUAAGUCCCCCACCUUCUCCUACUCCUUACCUCUGUGGGAUCAGAAAACAAAACAAACAUCUACCUGCAGGAAAUAUUCUCAACUUCUCCCUGCCCCUGACACAAAAUUUGUAAGGGAUAUGGUUACCAUGAAGAGAAAAACAAAUCUCUCUUCCAUUUGCUCUCUGGAAAUCCUUUGAUCCCAGCUCUAAAAUUCUCUGUUUCACACCUUCUCUAGUAGCUUAAGUCACAGCUAAGAUGCUACACGGAGAACUCUUCAAGGGCACAGGAAUAACCAUGAAAAAAAGGAAGGCUAGCAGGAAUGACCCCUCGCUCUGACAGCUGUUUCCAUCUUCCCCACCAAGUUUGCGGCUCUCACUGUCCAAACACAGCAGAUCAAAGCUGGGCGGCUGCCAUCAGACUGAAAACUAAGGACCCUGAGACAUCCGGAAGAGCUGCAGGUCGUCGUGUUGGCCUCUGGGAAUAGUCACCUGCUGCCUCUGGGCCCCAGAAAGAGCCUCCAGGCCAUGACUGGAAAGAGAGUAGGAGCAGGUAAAGGAGCAAAGGAGGAGGAGAUUCGGUCUGAGAAUUGACCCAGGGACAUGUUCCUGGGGAGCAGAAAUCUCUGGACAAUGCAGUGCUUGGGUCACUUGUUAUCUCGAGCAGACCCACAUAAGAAGGAUCCCAUCUGCUGUGGGACGGAGGCCAUUCCUGGGCCAGGGCGCAUUUGCACAACACAUGACGUGGAACAGGCUCCGGAGCCAAGACUGGUUCUGCAUCCACCCCGGGGGCAGGUUGGUCAGUCUCCAGUGUAAACCUCCAUGGGAUUAACCACUUAUUCCAGUGUAGGGCACUGGGUAAUUCAUACCAGAUCUGUCCCAGACGGCUUUGUACAUCCUGCCUAUGGGGAGGACCCCAAAAUUUCCUUUUCAAUGAUAUGUUUGGAUGAGAUAGAAGCCGUUGUGCUAAUGUUUGAAAGAGACGCUGUCCCAUGUCCACGUGGGUCCCAUGUCCAGAUGCGGGCUUGUCUGCGGCAUAUGGCAUUUAUUUACAAGGUGGGGGCCUGUCUGGACAGUUAAGGGAGGGGGCUCCAUGCUUGGAGAGCCGGGCUCUGCACCUCCUCUCAGCGGCCUGGGGAGGACUGAGGCAAGGGCUUUGUUCCAGCAGGCUCCACAUUGCCGAGGUUCGGGAUGUGGAGGAAUGCCAGCUGCUGGGGUGGAGUGACCCGAGGUCUUUAUCAGAUUAGGGUUUCUGUAGAUGUUUCCCAAAUGAUAGAAAUUUUCCUCAUCUAGUCUUAUUCCUAGCAGGCAGCCUUGGACCAAUAGUUGGCCUCACCCAGUUCCUUCCCUAUGUUUAUUUCCGAAACCUUUUUCUUCAAAACAAAACUAAGUAAACAACAACAGAAAAAGUUUUCAAAAAGACUUUGUAUCUCUAUCCUUUUUCUUUUCUUAGGCAACUUGAAAACUGCUUUCUCUUUGUCCCUAAAUUGUUCUCCUCUAUGAGCUUACCAGUCUUUAUGGGUUGACCUGGCUACGCCACUAGUCUAAUUGUCCCUUUGAUACAUGAAUAUAGACAUCAAUUGAAGAUUACCUAUAAAUCUUAAAUACAUGCUAUUUCUUAUGCUUAACUCCA